GUGCUCCUGGUGUAAUGGUAACACACACGCCCUUUCGUUUAAAAGGGGUGGUCCUGGGCUCGACUCUCGGGGGGCGCC